AUGGACUUCGUCAGUGCCGGAGUGUGAGGCCCUUUGUAUUUUGGAGCCAUUACCAGAAAGCAGAGCCUCCAGUAGACCUUUUUCAAACUUUCUGUGUGGUUUGCACGUUCGUCCACUGUACCGAGGUAGCAUUUCUUCUCAUUAUGACUCCUGGGGCUGUCCGCCUGCCUCCGGUUCCCAAAACCCUGUGGGUGUGGAAGCUGUGAGAUGCAGAAACUGAGGCCCGGGACCACACACCUGACACCAAGUGGACUAGGAUUCAGGCCGUUGACCAUAUUCUUUCAACUUCAGGAGCAACAGCACCUGGAGGACCCAAAUUUGCUGUCAUCCUCCACGAGGCCUCAGCAGUCUCCAACAUGGAAGGGCACUGAGCCAGCCUGGGGGUUUCCAGGGACCUUCCUGACUGAACACUGGAAAGACCCUUUCAUUCCAUCCUGUCCCCCAGGUGGGACCCCACGCCCUGAGGUGGAACAGAGGUGAAGAGGAAGGGGAGCGGCUCCUGUGCAUUUUAAUAGAAAUGAAUUCAAGUUCUCUCCUGAAGGACUCAGUUCCUUGGGCCCAAACUUCUCCAGUCUCUCAUGAAAGGAGAUGAACUGCUUCAGAUAAAGUGCUAAUCUUCAGCCUCAAAGUCCUCAGAAGGGCCUUCUCCACGCUGCUGGGCUGUGAAAGGCUGAAGGAGGUGGAGCUGGGGAGGAAGAUGAAGAUCUAGAGGUCUGAGAGAGCUUCAACUGAGUAGAGAGCAGCCUGGGUUCCAAAGUCCUGGCCCCAGCUCUGUGUAGCCAUGUGACUUUAGUUCAGGCCCUUGACUUCUCUAAGCUUCUGUGUGCACAGCUAUCAAAUGGGAGUAAUAGCAGUAUUGACCUCGUGGGUGGUUAUGAGGCUUUACUGAGAUGGUACAAUGUCAAGGGCUUAGCACAUUGCCUGGCACGUAACACUCAGUAAAUGCCACCCUGACUGCGUUUAAUUUGGGAAGCUAGACCCUUACCUACCCAAGGGCUGUGAUGGUAGCAAGCCCACCUGCAGCCAUCCUCAGAGGGUAGGUGGAGAGUGAAGCCAAGCCCCAGAGCCACGGACUCCAGAAUGAAGGUAUGGACUCCGUGCCUGGACCUGUUACUUGAUUAGGGUUUCUGACCCCAGCUUCUUCCCCAUUUGCCCUGUCACACCAUCCCAUAAUGUCCUGUUGCCCCCCUCUUGACCCUUCCUCCCACCCCAAUUCCAUUUAUCACAGUCCACUUGUGGUGUCAGGGCAGAGACGCCCAAGGCACUGAACUCAUCUUGCCACUGUUGGUCGCCCUCUGUGCGUUACAACAAUGUGGGACUUGGGGAUUCUAAACCACCACCCUCACCAAUUCUCUCAAUCCCCAUGACCAUCUCCAUGCCUCCAAG
rnacentral:lncRNA from 10 species